ACUAAAAUUGACUUCAGCUUGCCUAACACUAUUCGACCAAACCUCCCUUUUCUCCUUCGUUCUCCGCCUCUGACAAAAGCCAUCCUCCUCUUCGUUCUCCGCCUCCGACCACAACCCUCUUCCUCGUUUCCGUUCUCCGGCUACAAUCACAACCCGACCCUCCUCGUCCUCAACCUUUUCUGCCUCGGACCAGCUCCUCUGCUCGAAGACGGUGAAGAGAAUCAUCCUCUUCGUUCUCCCCCUCCGACAAAAACCAUCCUCCUCUUCGUUCUCCGCCUCCUCCAUAAUCCUCCUCCUCAGUUAUACUAGUUGGGUUUUGGUUUCUAGGCUUGGUUUUGGGUGAUUGCUCUCAGUCUGGAACUGGGUUUGUUUUAUUUUGAAUUGCAAGUGUGUGAUAUAGUUGCUUAGCUCUGUAGAUUUGAUGAAUGGGGUCUUGGGUUUUGUGGUGUUUACACGGAGAGUGGCUUUUGGGGCUGGUCUAUAUAUUCAUGGCAUAUUUUGGGUUUUAGAAGCAGAAUAUGUGUGAUUCUCUUGGGGUGAAUAGCACAAUAUGAUCUUUGGUUUCAGUAUUUUAUUAGAUUUUCUGCAAUAUAUUCUGGUCGAUUCAUCAUAUUUCAGUUCAAUUUUGUACUAACUUUUUUGUUUGUAGUUGAUGUUUGGUUGUUCAUAACUGCAAUAAACUUAAAAUUUUACGUUUUUAGUGUCUGUUGGAUUGAGAGAAGACGCAGGGGGAAAUGGUUUUAUCUUGGGUUUUCUUCUUUCGGAGGUGUAUUACAAAUCCUUGUAUCUUUGUGUUUUAGUAUGAAACUCCAAAUCAACCGUAUAGUACAACUGUACAACCCUUGAAAUAGUAAUACAUUGCUUGGUUAAAGAACAAAAAUUGGCAAGUGAAGAAAACAAGGCGAUUUUGAUGAGUUGCUUUCUUUUAAUUUUGUAUGGAUGUGGGUGCAGGUUGAUGAAGUUGUACGCGAUGCAUGACUUUAAUCGGAUAGAGUACUGCUCAUUCGAGUGUAGAUUUUGGUCCAGAAGUUGUUCUGUGUUACUCUAAGUUCCAAUUCAAAAACCUGACCGAUGCUGUGGAACAAAAACAGAUUACUUGUAAAAGCUCAAUGUACAAUAUAAGAUGGUUAGACUGUUUCACUGUUGCAAUCCCUGUUUAAUACCCCUUCAUUAAUCAUGCAAGUACCAAUGAAAAGAGGUCUUUAGCUUAAUUUGCAAGAUUCUAUAAUAUUUGUCUAUUGAAUUCCUGUUUUAAAUUAGCUUUAGAUCUAACUUUCGGACAUUUGGUACUCCACUGUAAUUCCAAUGUUUAUUGGCAGGGGGAUCUCCCUAAUAUAUCUGGUUCCUAAGCUUCUUACAGCAGGUUUUUGCUCCUUAUCAUGAGGUUGUCCGCGUCAGUGUCUAUGCUAUCAUGGCUGCCCUUCCUACGAUGGCCACUGCUGAGGAAACCUAAUAAAUGAACAUGGUAAUUUCAUAUACACUACCAUUCACCUGGAAUAAGUAAUGUCUGUGAUUUUUUCUUGGGUAAUAAUAUUAGAGGUGCUUUCAGUUAGUAACAUGAUUUGCUCAUGAUGGAGUACUAGGUCAGUUCUUCGAUUCUUUUGUUUGAGUCUACUACUUUUGGGUCCAAGUUUGUCAUGUCAGUCUUUCAUAUCCAUGAUGAUGCAGGUUUGUCAUGUACAUACUUCAUGUUAUGAGGAAAUAUGGAGCCCUCGACAAGGCCUCAAAUGCAAAAUUUUCUCAGUGUGUUAACUUCUGAGAUGCAAUUCAUCUGAAAUGCAAAAUUGGGAGAUGGGUUGCUCCCGAAGAUCUGAUAUAUAAUACAGGAAACCUUUUAAUUGUGAAUUAACUGGAUUGUUGGUGUGAAGAAAAAGAAUAUCAUUCAUCAAAAGAAAAAAAUUUACUAGGAAGACCAAUUUUCGCUCCUCUAUCUUGUGGUGAAAAUCUGUAUCCUGCAUGUGUAUCUUGUAAUAUAGAUAGAUACUUAACUCUUAUCAGUAAUGACCAAAAUUAAUACAAUGAAAUCUAGAGUCUAGACACACCCACACACACAUAUUGGUUGAUAGACUGUCUAAGCCUCCUUUAGUGCCUUUACUAAAUUGGUUUGUGCAGAAAGAUCAUAAAACCACAAAAAUGUUUAUGUGAGCUGUGAACACUGGGUGAGUUAGUGUAAAAUUGAAAAUUUUGUGUUUAAUGAAAAUGUUUAGAUGCUUGUGGAUUUCUGAUACAUUACAUGCUCAAACCAUUUUUCUUUAGCUAGACUUUUGUAUUAUGAUGUUGCAUUUUAGUUUAGCUUUACUUUGAAUAUUCCUCUGUUUUUCCUUUCCAGUUAGGGAAAUGUACUCAUAGAAAUGAAAAAUAAAAUAAAAAUUCAAGGGUUGUGCUAAAAUAAACAGGAAUAACCAUGACAGAGUAAAGGCUAGUUUAAAGGUUUACCAAUCCUCUCAAAGGUUGUACCCCUAUACUUGAUGAUUCUGCAGUGGAUUGUGUUUGAUGAGUGAUUUGCUUCAUUGAUUUAAUGAUUGCGAGUAAACUUAAUUUCUGCUAGUUGAUGGGAACAAAGUGUUUCUCAGUUUUCUCUUUAAUUACUUGCCCUUUCAUUUCAUUAUCAGUCAGCUCUUACAGUUUCAAUUCUUGGUGGGCUUCUAUUAGCUUUUUCUAUUCGCUUGUAUAUCUUGUUGACAUCUAGCUCCUAUGCUAAUGCAAUGCUUGACUGUCACAUAUUAGCCUUGAAUAACUAAUCCAAGGUUGUAUCUUUAAGAUUUACUAAAAACUCCAAACCAUAUAGGAGACAGCUUGAGUUAGUAAUCUACAAUCUUGGAUAAAUGCCUCAAAAUGGCCAUACAAAGAAAGAAUCCAUCUUUAUGAACUGCUAACCUUUCCAGUUUUAAUUAGCACUUGUUCUUUCUCUUGAGUAAAAAUGCAUCUUAUUAAUUACUUUUAAUAUUUUAUAUGUAUGCCAGUUCAGGUUGAUAGACUAGAAGAGUUGGUUGAUUGUGACUACGAACAGAAUGCUGCAAAUAUUUCUGGUAGUAAUUCAGGAAACUUGUUUGAGCAAAGUGUAGAUUGACACUCGUGCUUCGGAUAAUGUUCGAGCAGAUUCUGGCCAUAAGAUCCGCCUUCUUUUGGCUAUCAGUUAAGACAUAGGAGAGGAAAAUCAGAAACUACUCGUGCUCAGUACAUAAACACAAAGGAUGUGAGGUUUGUCUAUGUUUUUCUACCUCCUCCAAUGCUAGGCCUAGAAGUAGCACCAGUUUGGUUCUUAAUGGAAUUUCCUGGGGCACAUUGUUUCAUGUAGGCUGACAAUAACCACUUGGAAUGUUGCUGGAAGAGUUCCGGAUGAAAACCUUGAUAUUGAUGAUUGGAUUUCUUCAGAAGAGCCAUCGGGUAUCUACAUUUUCGGGUCAGUACUUUCUAUCUUCCUUUUCAUAAUCAACCUAGGCACAUACUUUCAGUACUUUCUAUCCCAGAAAGGUAUAGUUAAGUUAACCAACAGAUUGUGUUAUGGAUGCUAGGAUAGGAAUGUCUUGUAAGGUCAAUGUCUUUUUGUCUUUCCCUUUUCCUUUCCUUUCUUUCCUUCUGUUUUUCUUGUUAUAGCUAAUUGUUCAUUUCAUUUUAUUUGCAGAUGAAAACAGAAGAACAAAUGGGAUAUAAGUAUGGCGAGGCUUGCUUUCGUUUAUGUUUCUAGUAUUAUGUACCAUUUAGACUUAAAUUUUUGUUUUAUUUCGACAUGUUAUGCAUAGAAAUACUUGGGAUGUUGUUAUGUACUUUGAGCAUCAAUAUUAAUCAAAAUUUAUUUACUUACGAUAUGUAUUCUCAUUA